GGACGAUGGGGUAAUGUAACCGUCUGUUACAUAUUUUUGUGUGGCUCCGCCACAAAAUCCAGUAAUCCCUGUCCUUUACGGAAAAACAACAAAUUUCACCCAAAAGAACGGCUAACUUCACCCAUCCCAACUGUCAUUCCGCACAGGCACUCUCUUUCUCUGAGUGAUCCAUAGGCGUCGUGCUCAACCAGGGUCGUCGCGGGGAAGUGUGGGCACCCAGAGAACGACGCACCAUGUAAUUUUGCAGGAUGUAUGGGCGUCGGCCGAAAUUGUAGGUCUCGCGAAUUUUGGCACCACUGAGCAUGUUCUUUCUGUCUGUGAUCUCGUUAAAGAAAAGUAGUGCGCGUCUUGUGUCGUUAAAAGUACAAAAACAAAAACACAUUAAAAGUACAAUGAUUAGUACAGUGUAAAUUAAAAUGCGGAAAAAUAGUACGCCAAAAAAAUCGUUAAAAGAACAACACAUUGUGAACGUUAAGCAGAACAAAACACAUUUAAAAGAAAAGGUCCAAGAGGGCCUUUUCUUGUUCGCAUGCUUUUUCUCCAGUAACAUCGUCCAGCUAGAACGCACAGCGGCACUAGAAACCCAAAUCCAGAAGCAGACAGAAGAGACCACAACCCUAACCUUGCUCGCCACUUCAAGGUUGUCGACGAAGCCCUCCCGGUGCUUGGUAAAAGCUGAGAUCAUCAACAACAAGUUCCAGGCUCUUCCGGGACGCCGGAAAGAGGCCUGCUGAAGCUAUCUUCGUCGUUGAAAACAACCCUAUCAACUUUCGAUGGAAUUCCGUCGACUCAACCUAGUUCUGGCUUACAAACAUCGUUCAACGGUUCCGCUGCAUGCUGCAGCUAAGUACGAAGAAGAAAACCGCAAGUAUGCUAAAAUGAAAAUGUGACGUCACCUUCCCAAAAAUUGUUUAAAAUAAACCCCAACAUUAUGUUUGUAUACAAAUUCAGGCUUUAGUAAUUUGCAAGAGAUAAUUGGUUGAUUUACACCUUUCUUAAAUUCAUAUUCGUUUUUCCAAUCAUUUGCUUAAAAGUUCACUUUCAUGAGAUUACAUGCUUUGCCCGCCUCGAUUUAAUGUUCAUUAAUAGUGUGGACUGGUUGCUAGCAUGCGAAGUAAUCACCCGUGUACGCCCCUGGUCGACUCGAUUCUAACUGGAUCACUCUGCUGCGAGUUCCGCGGA